UACGUAGGGGGCGAGCGUUGUCCGGAAUUAUUGGGCGUAAAGAGCUCGUAGGCGGCCUGUUGCGUCCGCUGUGAAAUCCCGGGGCUUAACCCCGGGCGUGCAGUGGAUACGGGCAGGCUGGAGGCAGGCAGGGGAGAACGGAAUUCCCGGUGUAGCGGUGAAAUGCGCAGAUAUCGGGAGGAACACCGGUGGCGAAGGCGGUUCUCUGGGCCUGUACUGACGCUGAGGAGCGAAAGCGUGGGGAGCGAACAGG
rnacentral:rRNA from 1 species